rnacentral:rRNA from 1 species
UACGGAGGGAGCUAGCGUUGUUCGGAAUUACUGGGCGUAAAGCGCGCGUAGGCGGCUUUGUAAGUUAGAGGUGAAAGCCUGGAGCUCAACUUCAGAAUUGCCUUUAAGACUGCAUCGCUUGAAUCCGGGAGAGGUGAGUGGAAUUCCGAGUGUAGAGGUGAAAUUCGUAGAUAUUCGGAAGAACACCAGUGGCGAAGGCGGCUCACUGGACCGGCAUUGACGCUGAGACGCGAAAGCGUGGGGAGCGAACAGG